AGCGAACGCUGGCGGCAGGCUUAACACAUGCAAGUCGAGCGGGCACUUUCGGGUGUCAGCGGCGGACGGGUGAGUAACGCGUGGGAACGUGCCCUCUGGUUCGGAAUAACUCAGGGAAACUUGAGCUAAUACCGGAUACGCCCUUUUGGGGAAAGGCUUGCUGCCGGAGGAUCGGCCCGCGUCUGAUUAGCUAGUUGGUGAGGUAACGGCUCACCAAGGCGACGAUCAGUAGCUGGUCUGAGAGGAUGAUCAGCCACACUGGGACUGAGACACGGCCCAGACUCCUACGGGAGGCAGCAGUGGGGAAUAUUGGACAAUGGGCGCAAGCCUGAUCCAGCCAUGCCGCGUGAGUGAUCAAGGCCUUAGGGUUUUAAAGCUCUUUUAUCCGGGACGAUAAUGACGGUACCGGAGGAAUAAGCCCCGGCUAACUUCGUG
rnacentral:rRNA from 1 species